rnacentral:hammerhead_ribozyme from 1 species
ACACUGCUUAAGAGUCCCAUAAUAGGACGAAACAACUGUCCAAUGU